GAUGAACGCUGGCGGCGUGCCUAAUACAUGCAAGUCGAACGAAUCUUCUUCGGAAGAUGAGUGGCGAACGGGUGAGUAAUACAUAGGUAACCUGCCCCUGUGCGGGGGAUAACAGGAGGAAACUCCUGCUAAUACCGCAUAGCCAUGAGCACCGCAUGGAGCUCAUGCCAAGUAUCCUUUCGGGGAUAGCGCAGGGAUGGACCUAUGGCGCAGGUUAGCUGGUUGGCGGGGCAACGGCCCACCAAGGCAACGAUGAGUAGCCGGCCUGAGAGGGCGGACGGCCACAUUGGGACUGAGAACCGGCCCAGACUCCUCCGGGAGGCAGCAGUAGGGAAUUUUCGGCAAUGGGGGAAACCCUGACCGGGCAACGCCGCGUGAGCGAAGAAGGCCUUCGGGUCGUAAAGCUCUGUUGUAAAGGAAGAACGGCGCAUACAGGAAAUGGUAUGCGAGUGACGGUACUUUACCAGAAAGCCACGGCUAACUACAUGCCAGCCGCCGCCGUAA
rnacentral:rRNA from 1 species